GCAGCCGCCGCGGGAAUACAGAGGGUGCGAGCGUUAAUCGGAUUUACUGGGCGUAAAGCGUGCGUAGGCGGCUUCUUAAGUCGGAUGUGAAAUCCCUGAGCUUAACUUAGGAAUUGCAUUCGAUACUGGGAAGCUAGAGUAUGGGAGAGGAUGGUAGAAUUCCAGGUGUAGCGGUGAAAUGCGUAGAGAUCUGGAGGAAUACCGAUGGCGAAGGCAGCCAUCUGGCCUAAUACUGACGCUGAGGUACGAAAGCAUGGGGAGCAAACAGGAUUAGAUACCCGAGUAGUCCCUGUCUCUUAUAC
rnacentral:rRNA from 1 species